rnacentral:rRNA from 1 species
CCCUUAGAUGUUCUGGGCCGCACGCGCGCUACACUGGCUGGCUCAACAAGCAUCUCACCUGCGCUGGCGUGCGGGUUGGUGUGUGUGUGGAGUUUACUCCCUGCUGCAUCAGCUCAGCGCUGCUUAGCUCUGCUAAGUCGAGAGGCGUGGGCAAUCUUGAAAGGCCAGCCGUGUCUGGGAUAGGCUCUUGCAAUUUUCAGCCUUGAACGAGGAAUUCCUAGUAAAUGUGGGUCAUCAACCCGCAUUGAUUACGUCCCUGCCCUUUGUACACACCGCCCGUCGCACCUACCGAUUGAAUGGUCCGGUGAAAUCUCUGGACAGGCUUUUGUGCCUCUGCUUGGGGUAACUUGAGUGAGUGCACAAGCAGGCAGUGGUUGGUGUUUGCCAGCUGCAGCUCUGUUUGCCUGGAAGUUGAUUAAAUCUUACCAUUUAGAGGAAGGUGAAGUCGUAACA